UUGGAACAGGCUGCCCAGGGAAAUGGUUGAGUCAUCAUCCCUGGAGGUAUUAAAACAAAAUGUAGAUGUGGCUAUGUUUAGUGGUGGACUCUAUGAUCUUACAGGUCUUUUCCAACCUAAAUGAUUGCAUAAUUCUGUGACUAUGCUAUGGCUGUGUGUGGUUCUGCUCAGGCCUGUCCUUACUGACAAGAGCAGCCGUGUAUUUCUUCUAUGUACUAAAGCACCUCUAAUUCUUCCUUGACUUGUUUGCACAAGAAGAUGCAAACUGCCAUGUCUCACUGGUGUCUCCGUUGUGGGUACGUGCAAGAAGAAACACCUUGUUCCUCCCAUGUGAGGUUUGGGUUGUAACCAGUACUGUGCUGAGCCUGCACCAGUGGUCGUGAACUCCAAAGGAGGUAUCUGGCAGGCAGCCUCUUUCUCUGAUAAGAGAAAUCAGGCUUGUUUGAAGAAACACGGAGAAGCCCAGGCUCAGAGGAGAGUGCCAGCUAACUCACUAGGAUAUUGGCCCAUCUCCUCUUGUGGAGAAACAGAACUGGGUUAGGGAGAAACAAAACAGGUACAGAUAAUUCUCUGCCUGAAACUGGAAUUUGUCUUCCGCUGGAGUCAUUCAGGAGCAAGAUGUCGUUGUGAAUGGUUUUUAAAUUGUUUUGGGAGCAGCCAGGGGAAAUGGUGAGUGUUGAGCAUCACAACAUGGAGCUGGGGAGCAUCAUCCUCUUGGGGACACUGAGCCCUCAUUUCCUGCAGCUGGCAGGAGCAGCAAGCUUCCUGUCUCCAGCUCCCUCUGGGUUGUGCUGUGGGACCAUCAUGCCCCCUGCUCUAGUGCAAAGGUGCAGUGGCCAAACGGGAGUGGGAGAAGAGACCUCUCCUCCUCCCACCAGACCCAGCUGGUGUGAGCAAACACCCCACUCUUGCGGCUGCAGCAAUAACUAAACACAUAUAUUUUUCCCCUUUAUUCUUUUUUUUAAUAAUUUCCUGGACCCUUUUCAGGACAAAUUCCACUGCUGAGCGGAUGCCAUGGGCAGCAGGCGCAGUGUUGGCAGCUGGUUCCUCAAGGAAAACGUGAGUGCACCGACUAUGCCUUAAUACACCAUUAAUGAUCAGGAACAAAACACAAACAUUACGGACACUUUCCUUGGAGAAAAUAAAAUAAACUCAGCUAAUUCAGAUGUUGGUGUUGCACAGUCAUGGUUAUUCCUUUGCUGCUUUCCUUAUGAAUUAUUAAUACAUGUGAGGCUCACGACAGGCAGGUUUGAUGCCUGCUAAAGGACACAGGUAGUGCCAUUGCAUGUGUGUGGUGGCACCGAGGAGCAGGGCUGCCUGCAUGCUGCAGACAGUGCCAGUGCUCGAAGUGGGUUUCAGGUGCCAGGGUUUACUCCACACUGCGCCAUCCUCCAUCUCACCAGCAUCGUGUGCAGUGAUGCCUGAGGGAGCUGCUGCUGCCAGACACCCUGACCACACUGGAGAAAUGUGGUCUUUGUGGAAACUGGCUUUCGUAGCCCUGCCAUGCCCCACCUGGGGAGCCCUGGGGACUAAAGAUAAUCGUGUGUAAGAAAAGAACUUCACUUUUAUGCGGGAGUGGCUUAAGUCAGCUUUAAAAGCAGCUGCUGAAUCCUUCUGAACUACUUGGCAGGGAAUUCCACAUCCACUUCUCAUUGAACUGCUCGUGCUAUCUGCCACCUUUCAGGCAUGUCACCACCAGUCCCCUGUGGGACCUGCUGACAGCUGCAGUGUAUAGCAAGGCUCCUCCAGCAGGCCCCUGUGGAGCUCCAGCUCUCCCAUGAGGAUCCCAAUGUCUUUUGGGACUAAGGCAUCAUGAGCCACAUUGGUGAAGCCUCCAGGACUGCUCAACUGAUGAAAAUCACCAACUCCAAGUCUGCUCAGACCUUUAGUAACUGCCAGCACUGCUGCUAGAAGCUGUGGGAAAAAGGUCUUUUCCCUUUUUUCCUUUGAGUGUGAUGCUUUCCUGUGGUGCCUGUGAGGGAGAUGCUGGCCACCCUGGCUGCACCUCCAUGUGGCCCCUCCUGUGCCUACCACAUUGUACCCAGCUGAUGCUUUCCACACAGCAGAGGCCAGGGCCACCUCAGUUGCCAUGGCAACACAAAAAAAAGGAGCCAGGAGUUUAAUUUUUUUUUUCUUCCAAAGUAAAGCCACUUGCUUGAAACCUCACCUUCCAUUUUGGGUGAUUUUGCAGCCCCCCCAUGUUCACCUUCUCUGCACAGUUCACAGCACCCACACUGGGCAGGAUGCUUGAAAGGAACAACAUCCCUGCCCAGCAGCAUGAGUGCAACCACGGGAUGGUCUGGUGAGGAGGCAGUGGAAGGGACCCAAGUCUUCUCUUUCUCUGCUCCGUUCUAGCAGUUGUCUAGCAAAGUUACACUCAAGGCACUUAUGCUUUGCUCUCCCCUGCAUUUUUUGGUGGAAUCUGGCAUCGCCUAGAAUAUGGGGAAAGGGACAGAGUGGACUGUGAAGGACAAUUAUGAUGAAUUUCCAUAUUCUGGUAGCUGAUUCCCAAAGCAAAGCUCACACCACCAAGCCUGACAGAGUUCAAGAAGCAUUUGGACAAUGCAGUUGAGCAUAUGGUGUGACUCUUGGGAAUGGUCCUGUACAAGACUGGGAGUGGGACUUGAGGAUCCUUGUGGGUCCCUUGCAGCUCAGGAUAUUCUGUGAUUCUGUGAUCAACCAGCAAGGUUUGUGCUGUUUCUUGCAUUUACACCAUCAUUUUUCUAGUUGUAGUUUCUUCUGUGCCAGCUGCCUUUGUUAGGCUCUUCCACCCAGCUACAAGUUUCAGUGCUUUUAUGUGGCAUGUGUUUCUAAACUUCGUUUUCACGCUUGAGCCAGCACCAAUUGACAAAGCAGCCCAUGCUUGGUUGCUUUGCAUGCCCACAAAUCUCAGCAAGCCUCCUUGCAGCUGCACAUGUGGGCAGGCAGCAGCCACUGGUAGCAAGGGGAUUUUCUUGCAAAUGUCCACCUCUUGGCUGAUGCCGCCAGCGGUGCACAAAGCUGAUGGCACUGGUAGUGUGGUUCCUUACUGCAUUGCUUUAUACUCACAAGCAUUUCCUAAGGAUAAAGCUAAAUGUCCUGCCUCUGGGUUUGCCUUGUUCUUCCCUAGGAUGAGCAAUUCCCAUCUCUGUCCUGAAGUCUGAGUCAAAUCAAAAUUUUCACCUCAAUCAGCAGCACAGCUCUGUCUUAAAGGCUUUUUCUGAAGCUACACUGCUGAAGUUGAUUCCCUCCUCAGUAAUGUGAUUUAAAUCACCCUUCAAUCACUAGUCAUUUCCUCACCUUGUGGCAAUAAGGACAAAUUAGCACCUUAAAUAAGAGAAACAUGCUUCUAGGAAAUGGGUUUAAUUUCUAGUGGGUUUUUGAGAAGCGGCUGCCAAGCUUGGAUCAGUUGGUUUCUCUGCUGUGGGUGUAGGAAGGAAAAGGGCACAAACAGGAAAAAGUUGUCAUGUUGUGCAUGACAAUGAUACAGAAGGAAAGAGUUUCUGAGUGCUGUAGGGGGCCAUUACCAGAGCACUGUAGUCAUCUCCACCUGCAUCCUCUCUUCACCUGCACCAGAAGCUCAUGGCCACAAUGGGUAGAUUUUUCUGGAUGGCCCAGCACCUUCUGGAACUCAGAGAUUUCAGUGCUUAAUUGAAAGGUAGCCCCGAAGGGUGAGGGAGUCUGUCCUGCUGAUGGUAUGUAGCCAUCCGUAUUGUUGAACAGCAGUGAGAUUUACCCUCCAGCUUGCCUCCAGGUCAUGCCUUUUCCUUAAAAAUAAGAAAGUUAUUUUUAACGUGAAAAAGAGUGAUGUUGGGAGGUGUUAAGACCCAGCUGCAGGGGUUGGCAUGGUGGGCUUGCCCUGGAAAUAAAGCUCAAAGUUCACAUGUUCUGCCCAUGGGAUUGAGAGGAUUGUUGGUACUUCAGAGAAUUGAUACAGCCUUACCAGGCUGGCUGGUCACUUGGAUGACUGAUUAGUGAUUUACAACGAGUUGGAGCCCACAGGCACCCCCUGUUGUGUCCUGGAAGAGAGGAUGGAGUUGCACAGUGAGUACCUGGGUAAGCUGGGGUUUCAUACAGAUGAGAAGAGCUGAAAUGAAUGUAUUUGACUCAGGCUUGUUUUUACCUUUAUCCAUGUAUAUUAAAGUAGCAAGCAUUUUUUUUUCAUCCCAGAAUAGCGAUAUUUUACUGUUUAUGCCACAAGCAUGGCAGUGAGAACCAAGCUAUUUAAUUUCUUUUCCUUAAUCAAAAGCUGCAACCGCUGCUACUGGUGACCGCAACCCAGGCUGAGGAGCUGCUGCCACCUGAAAUGCCACAGAAAAGGCUUUCCAACAGCCUGCUAAAAUGAACAGAAAGAAAUUGCUUGGAUCAGGUGGUAGCCACCUGAGUGCACCCAAAGAACAGAUAAAUGUUCCUUAAAUCAGCCUCAGGCAAACACAAUACCAAAUUAUUAGCUGGGGUUUUUUUUAAUGAUUCCAGGGCAUGGUCUAAGGAACUCCAAAUCAGUAAGCCUCAUGUCUGAACCAGAAAAAAAUCUGUAGAAACAGCUUUUAUACAGCAAAGUACAGACAUUGAAGAUGCUAGGAUAAAUGUGAUGCAUAAAGGGAAGAGAUAAAAUGAGCUCUUACAAAUGGAAGUUGUGCCUGAUAAAUCUGUGAUCUCUGCAGGAAUGAAGAGGUAACACAUUCUUAAAUGGUCUGAAAAGGGGGGGAUGGAUGGAUGGAUAGAUAGAUAUAAAGAAGUUUGCUGGUGGUACAGGAUUGUUUAGGAUCAUUAGAGAUUAGGCAAAAUAUUGCAGAAUUUUUUCUCUGUAUUGAUUUUGAGGCAGCAAAAUUACCCAUUAAUUAAAACUUAGUUUAGUUACCUAAUAUUAACUAAAAGAGAACAAGGAGUCUAAAAAACAGUAGUUCUAACCAUUCAAAGACUUUGAGGUCCGAAUUUAAAAGGUAUUUGUAUCACUUUGGAUAGAGGUCUGAAAAUAUCAGCUCAGUGCUCACCUUAAAAGACAAAGCAGCUUUUGGGGAGCCUUACAGUUUAGGAUGUUAGUGACCUGGGUAAAAUGGUUCCUUGGGCAUCACACUCGUCAUGUGGGGUUACACUGGCCUCCAGAACCUGCCACCUCUGCUCUGGCACAGCAUGUCCCCCCUGUGCAGCCUCCGUGCCCAUGUUUCUGUGCCCUUAGCUCCUUGCCUGACAAUUUAAACUCUCUACUUGGCAGCUGGUACCUGGUUAAAUCAUGUACAGUGUCAGCCAUACCCAUGCUGAGCAGUGGCAAGUGGCUUCCCAGCUGUCUAAUGAGGGCAGGGAACAUUUUGAUCAGCCCCUCUUGACCCCACAGCUAAUGCAGGCCAGCGAAUCUGCCUUGGCAAUUUGUGCACCAGGCUUGUACCUUUGGCCUGAGGCUGGAGACGAUGCUAAACAUCUGCCGCUGGACUCCUGAGAGUGACGUCAAUACUCUUUUGUCCCAAGUCUCGUACUGGCUCAGCUGCAUCCAUCUCUCCCAAAGAUAAAUUGUACUUUAUUGCAUGGUAUUGCUCAGCACAGAAAAAACUCUCAUUAGGCACCAGCAAUUCAGCACUUAAGCUCAUAGUAAUAAAUAACUUGACCAGGGUAGCUUUUUUCCCCUUUUCACUUCAUCUUUCCUUUUCCCCUUUCUGCCUAUGCACAGGCUCUCAGAAAGCAGAGAGGGGCUGGCAGGAUGGCAGAGGAUGGUUGCAGAGUGUCCCUGUGCAUUUCUGGGGACAGAAUCAGGAAGCCAGGGCAGCAGAGACGUGCUCUGCCUUGCUGCAGUCCCACUGGUAUCCUCUGCCCAAGCAGAGUGGUUUCUGCAGGAGACAACAAGCAGUGCAAGAAACUCAGGGCCUCUCCCAGGGCAUGUCUUGGGGUGGAUCUAAGGACACACCCAGAUAAAUCUGCCCAGCCCUGGGUAAGGGGUGACCUCUACCUCCCACAUGCAAUAGGCACUGUAAGACACCUGUCUCCAGCCCUCCUUGAGCCAUGGGACGCUUGUCUGGUCAGGAGUGCAGGGAGCUGGGCACAGCUGGGCUCAUCUCCUGCAGAGGUUCUUUUAGGGAACCCUCACUCUACCAGCCUGCCCUUAUCUCUCAUCAGCUGCAGACACUUCAGGGAGUCUCUGUUGUGUCCCACAAACCCCUGGACUUGGUGGCAUCGGGCAGAAGGAUGCCAGGAGCUGCUGGCAACCCACCUGGAGGGACGCACCCUGGGCAGUGUAUACUGUGCCUCUCUGCUCUGACCUCUUCUCACCAUCUUCCCUCCCCACCAUCCUUCCUCAAGCUCAAAAGCCAAACAUUUAAGGAAUUAUAUUAGCAAGCCGUUUCCCUCUCAGCUUGCCUCAGGGCCAGUCAAUUUAUUUGCUGGUUAUAGAGAAAUUUCCUCUCUCCUCCCAAAAAUGUAGUGUGCGGGCAGUAACCACAGCCUUGGGAAGGUCCCGGAGCUGCUGAGGAGCAGGUGGCAGCAGACAGACUCGCAGUUCGGGGAUGGAUGCAGCAGGGUGCGGGAGAAGCGGGGCCCUAGCGCGGGCUGCUGCUGCCAUCUAGCCAUGCCCGCCGCCGCUCAGCCCUCACCCACGCCACCUUCUCCGGCUAUGUUCUGUCUACAUCGCUGCUUUUCUGUGGCUUUCCUCUUCUGAGCCACAAAGAAGAAGGUGUCUUUUAAGGUCUCUUCGUUUAGCCCGCGCUUUCCAAGGCUGCUGCCAUAGCGGCUGCAGGGCCGGCCGGGCGGCAGCUCGGGGGUCACAGCCGUGCCGCUCACUCUGCCCUGCUCCCCGCGGGCUCUGUGGGGCCGCGCCGGCUGCACCGCAUCCUUUCUCAUGAGAGCCACCUCUCCUGGAGGAGGACACUCCGCGUCCCCUGGUGUUGGCAUGGUUAUUGGAUCCAGCGGCCCUCCCACCACCCUGUCCUAAGGACAACACCAGUGUCCUAAACCUGAGGCUGGCAAUGGGUCUCUGCUUUUGAAGCCAUUUGCUCCCUCCAGUGUCUGUCGCUCUCCCAGGAGGAGAAGCAAACAGAAAUCAGCAUAUUCAGCCGGUGAACAGGAAAACUGCUUCAUGAACGUGAGAAGCCACUCAGGGCUCUCCUGGGUGAGGAAUCUUCUUCAUGCCACGGAGCAAGAUGAGGCUCUUACCUUUGUUCCAACAGCCGGACUGUGGCUUUGGUUUAGCAUCCAUUACCAGUUCUUCCCCACUACUUUUUAACUUUUUUGAGGCAGGAGUGGGUCCUCUCCCUUCAGCAGCUCCUCAGAGGCUGCUGCCCCUUUAGAUCCAUUUUAGCACUGGAGCACGAGCCCUCACCAUGCAGAGCCCCAUAGAGGGGAAGGCAGCCAAGGAGGUGGUAGUGUUGGAAAACCCCAUUGCUGAACUGAGGGAACUGUGCUGCAGGGCUCAGACCCAUGGCACUGCUGGACCCACUAGGGAGCAGGGUGAUGACAGACACACUAGGAUUGGAAGGGACUUCAGGAGGUCGCUAGCCGAGGCUUCUGCUCCAAGCAGGAUCAAUUGCAAGAUCAGUUCACGGCUGCUCAAGACCUUGACCUGUCAGGUCUCAAAAGCCUCUGGAGAUGGAGCCUGGCCAAUCCCACUAGUCCUGGCUGUCCCCACGAAGCAAGUUGCUCCUUGCAUCCAGACUGACUCCCCGGUUUCAGCUUGUGUCCACUGACAUUUGACAUCAGCAAUCCUGCAAAUCUGCUCUACAGAAGGCGGCAUAAAUCAGUUCCAUGCAGUUACUCAAAAAAACCCCCAAAAACUCUGGCAAUGGCAAACCUAAAUUAACCCCAGGAGCAAGAGAGAAGAAUAAAAAACAUCACAGUAAUAGCUACUGAAAGAGCCAAGCCUCAGACUGGGCACCAAGCAGGAAACUGGAAGCUGACAGGACAUUUGAGGUAACAGCCUUAAUAAAUAAUUAAA